CGGGACGUGGCGCAGCUUGGUAGCGCACUUGACUGGGGGUCAAGGGGUCGUGGGUUCGAAUCCCGCCGUCCCGACCA
rnacentral:tRNA from 1 species